rnacentral:rRNA from 1 species
CUACGGGCUGCUGCAGUGAGGAAUAUUGCACAAUGGGGGGAACCCCGAUGCAGCAACGCCGCGUGGAGGAUGACGCAUUUCGGUGUGUAAACUCCUUUUAUAUGUCAAGAAAAUGACGGUAGCAUAUGAAUAAGCACCGGCUAACUCCGUGCCAGCAGCCGCGGUAAUACGGAGGGUGCAAGCGUUACUCGGAAUCACUGGGCGUAAAGGACGCGUAGGCGGGUUGGAAAGUCAGGUGUGAAAUCCUACAGCUUAACUGUAGAACUGCACUUGAAACUUCUAAUCUAGAGUAUGGGAGGGGGAGAUGGAAUUAGUGGUGUAGGGGUAAUAUCCGUAGAUAUCACUAGGAAUACCUAAAGCGAAGGCGAUCUCCUGGAACAUUACUGACGCUAAGGCGUGAAAGCGUGGGGAGCAAACAGGAUUAGAUACCCCUGUAGUC